GACGAACGCUGGCGGCGUGCUUAACACAUGCAAGUCGAACGGAAAGGCCCUGCUUUUGUGGGGUGCUCGAGUGGCGAACGGGCGAGUAACACGUGAGUAACCUGCCCUUGACUUUGGGAUAACUUCAGGAAACUGGGGCUAAUACCGGAUAGGAGCUCCUGCUGCAUGGUGGGGGUUGGAAAGUUUCGGCGGUUGGGGAUGGACUCGCGGCUUAUCAGCUUGUUGGUGGGGUAGUGGCUUACCAAGGCUUUGACGGGUAGCCGGCCUGAGAGGGUGACCGGCCGCAUUGGGACUGAGAUACGGCCCAGACUCCUACGGGAGGCAGCAGUGGGGAAUAUUGCACAAUGGGCGGAAGCCUGAUGCAGCAACGCCGCGUGCGGGAUGACGGCCUUCGGGUUGUAAACCGCUUUCGCCUGUGACGAAGCGUGAGUGACGGUAAUGGGUAAAGAAGCACCGGCUAACUACGUG
rnacentral:rRNA from 1 species